AUACACUCCCACACGCUCUAACUCUCUCAUACAUCUCUGUCCGUCUCACUCUGUGACUCUCUUUCUCUCUCACGCCUUUGCUCUCCUCCGGCUCUCUCUCUUGCUUUUGUCUCCAUCAUUAUUGGAGCAUCACCGCCAUCGCACACGAGCACCACCUUCAAUCCACCAUUGGAGCAUUACCCCAGGUAUGUCCUCUCUAUAGUCUCUAUUUCCCUAAUUUCAGCCUCUAGGGUUUUCUUCUUCCAUUUGCAUACCUUCACCCAAACCCAACCCCAAAUCGACCCAUGUUAAGGUUGAGGCAUCUGUUCAUUCAUUGUCCUUGGAUAUGGAGGAUAUGGGUUGAAUUACUAAAAUGGUGAAAUGUUCGCUGGGUUACACCAUAAUCUUUUUCAAAUUUGUCACACUGGGGGUUUGGGUUUAAAUUUGGGAAGCAGGAAAAGAAGAUGUGGAGGCCAUGGUUUGGUCAAUUUGGAAGGCUCGUAAUGACCUCAAGUUUAAUGGAAUUCAAGUCAGAUGGGAAUCUUUGGUUCAGAAUUGCUUUGUGGGUCAAAUAUAAGUGCAAGGAUGUGGUCUUUGGGGUGAAUGAUCUAGUGUUUAACUUGGCAGCGGUCUAAUUGGUUGAACCAUCUCAGCCUACAACUCUUACGUUCAUUGAAGUGUAAAUUAAUGGCUUCAUUGAAGUGUAAUGAAGCCAUAGAUCUCUUAAAGAGCACUGAUACAGCUGUUAUUUUUGGUCAGAAACUAGUGGACCCAACAAAGAUCGAUCGCUAGGCUAUUGUGAACUUUUCCGCUCGCUGCGAUAUCCAUGGCCUUGUUAGGGAUUUGAUCAAAUGUGGAGACAUAAAGGGCAUG